rnacentral:rRNA from 1 species
GACGAACGCUGGCGGCGCGCCUAACACAUGCAAGUCGAACGAGCGAGAGGAGGUUUACUUUCUCAAGCGAGUGGCGAACGGGUGAGUAACGCGUGAGGAACCUGCCUCAAAGAGGGGGACAACAGUUGGAAACGACUGCUAAUACCGCAUAAGCCCACGACCCGGCAUCGGGUAGAGGGAAAAGGAGCAAUCCGCUUUGAGAUGGCCUCGCGUCCGAUUAGCUAGUUGGUGAGGUAAUGGCCCACCAAGGCGACGAUCGGUAGCCGGACUGAGAGGUUGAACGGCCACAUUGGGACUGAGACACGGCCCAGACUCCUACGGGAGGCAGCAGUGGGGAAUAUUGCACAAUGGGGGAAACCCUGAUGCAGCGACGCCGCGUGGAGGAAGAAGGUCUUCGGAUUGUAAACUCCUGUUGUUGAGGAAGAUAAUGACGGUACUCAACAAGGAAGUGACGGCUAACUACGUGCCAGCAGCCGCGGUAAAACGUAGGUCACAAGCGUUGUCCGGAAUUACUGGGUGUAAAGGGAGCGCAGGCGGGAAGACAAGUUGGAAGUGAAAUCCAUGGGCUCAACCCAUGAACUGCUUUCAAAACUGUUUUUCUUGAGUAGUGCAGAGGUAGGCGGAAUUCCCGGUGUAGCGGUGGAAUGCGUAGAUAUCGGGAGGAACACCAGUGGCG